GGUUUAUAGCUCAGUGGUAGAGCACUUGCCUAGCAUGUGUGAGGCACUGAGUUUGAUUCUCAGUGCCA
rnacentral:tRNA from 1 species